rnacentral:rRNA from 1 species
GGUUAAGCGACUAAGCGUACACGGUGGAUGCCCUGGCAGUCAGAGGCGAUGAAGGACGUGCUAAUCUGCGAAAAGCGCCGGCGAGGUGAUAUGAACCUUUGACCCGGCGAUGUCCGAAUGGGGAAACCCAGUGUGAUUCGUCACACUAUCGUU